UUCGAUCUUUAUUGCUCGGCAGUGCUAGUUCAGAUACAAUUUUGUUUAUAUCUCUCCAACUCCAAUCACGAAGAUUCAAUGCUGUUUGUAUACUGCAAGAUUAAAGUGAAAUCAAUCCGCCAAAGGUGGAGCUUCACUGCACAUUUAAACAAGCCGUCUUAGGAUGAUGUUUUCGAAUUAAAAACCAUACUAUAUCAGACAAAAAUGCACCAUCUCCAAUCUAAAACUAUUUAAAAAUAGAAAAAAAAAUCAAAAUCCCCUUCACCCGUUCACUAAUCAAAUUAAUCUAACGACCAGAAAACAAACAACUAACCAAAAUUAACAUUUCAUUUCGCUACGAUUCCGAGAUCCGGCUCAGCCCAUUCACACCCACAGCUAUCAUGCGAAUUUCGACGAUAUCAGCACAACUUCCAUCUCACUCGGACUUAGCGAGCCCCAUUCCAGCCGCAAAUUCGUAGGGCAAAAGGCGACGAUAGAGCGUGUUAUUGCGGUCAUCAACGGCAUCAUUACGGCGCGUUCUCCCGGCGAAGAAGGCAAGCUGCUGCGUGGCUUCCCGCGGCGACGGUGAUCCAGCUGUUCAUCAGCAUGUAGGUGUCCGGAAAAUGGUGAAUCUGUUUACUGGUGACUAAUUACCAGUUCUACGAAAAGGUGUCGACUUGAUUAGGAUUAGGUGCAGUGGAACGACAUGAUUAGAAAAAAAAACUCGAAUUAGUAGAUAUCUACGCUGGAGUGAUUUCGUUGAUUUGAUUAAGACCGUAGGGAGGUAACACUUAUAAUAGAAGGAUACUUGGUUUUGAUUAAGGGGCGACCGAGGUAGAUUGAUGCACGAA